GUAAAUGCUAUGAUGGGACGAGUAAACUAGGCCCAGUCUUACAGAGAGGGAAGUGCCAAAGGCUGAAAGCCUUCCUAAGAUAUGGUUAGUUGAAAACUAUCCCGGAGUGGUACCUGAAACUUCAAUAGAGGGUAAGGGUAACGUUAAUCGCGUUAAGAUUUAAUGAGUAUAAAUUAGGGUGGAACCACGGGAGUAACCUCUCGUCCCUAGA
rnacentral:ncRNA from 1 species